rnacentral:rRNA from 1 species
CACGUAGGGUGCGAGCGUUGUCCGGAAUUAUUGGGCGUAAAGAGCUCGUAGGCGGUGUGUCGCGUCGGCCGUGAAAACCUGCAGCUUAACUGUGGGCUUGCGGUCGAUACGGGCAUCACUGGAGUUCGGCAGGGGAGACUGGAAUUCCUGGUGUAGCGGUGAAAUGCGCAGAUAUCAGGAGGAACACCAACGGCGAAGGCAGCUCUCUGGUACAUGAUUGACGCUGAGACGCGAAAGCGUGGGUAGCGAACAGG